AGCAGACUUCCCUCUACUGUGGUUUAUCCUCCCAGCUGUGGCCAUCUUCCUCAUGGUCCUCAUCAUUUCCAUUGGCCUUUGUUUUUGUUGCUUCAGAAAAAGAACCAGAAAACGUAUGCUGCGCCACCAUCUAGCUGCAUAUCCUGAAAACCUUGGCAUUUAUCAGGACAGGAUGCCUCUCUAUAUUAACUGCACUGAAGUGACUCAUAUUUACACAAACGGCAGCUAUCAAGUUGUGUACCAGAAUUCCACACCUUGUUUUGUUCAAACUAAGCAGGUUCGUCCAAUGGGCAGACGAGGAGGGGAGAGACGCAGAGGAGCAGAGCGUGGAGUGAGAGAAAGACAAUCCAAUUUACAAACCAGACAGAUAGUCCAGAAUACUGCAGUGGCUGAUGCUGAUACUGCCAUAUACUUGGAGAUACUCUGAACUGAACUAUGGCUGAAGCUCAUUUAUAAAUAGACUUUGGAACAGCUUAAAGGCUUGCCUGUCAGCAUUUUUUCAUGUUUAUUUCAUAUCCCUUUUUCUGUAUAAUGCCAACAUUGUUUUAAUAAAAUGAUGAAUGUAGGUUAAUUAAAAUCAUAUUACAAAAACAGCAAAUACUAAUAUUUCUAAUAAAUAUAAUUCUUGUUAAAA